AUACGGAGGGUGCAAGCGUUGUUCGGAAUCACUGGGCGUAAAGGGCGCGCAGGCGGUUUGGUAAGUCAGACGUGAAAGCCCACGGCUCAACCGUGGAAGUGCAUUUGAAACUGCCAGACUUGAGUACCAGAGGGGAAGGUGGAAUUCCCGGUGUAGAGGUGAAAUUCGUAGAUAUCGGGAGGAAUACCGGUGGCGAAGGCGACUUUCUGGCUGGAUACUGACGCUGAGGCGCGAAAGCGUGGGGAGCAAACAGGAUUAGAAACCCCAGUAGUCC
rnacentral:rRNA from 1 species